rnacentral:rRNA from 1 species
UACAGAGGGUGCGAGCGUUAAUCGGAAUUACUGGGCGUAAAGCGUGCGCAGGCGGUUUGCUAAGACAGGUGUGAAAUCCCCGGGCUUAACCUGGGAACUGCGCUUGUUACUGGCAAGCUGGAGUGUGGCAGAGGGGGGUGGAAUUCCACGUGUAGCAGUGAAAUGCGUAGAGAUGUGGAGGAACACCGAUGGCGAAGGCAGCCCCCUGGGCUAACACUGACGCUCAUGCACGAAAGCGUGGGGAGCAAACAGG